CAAGUCUCAGUACGAGUCUGUCUUAAAGUGAAACCGCAAAAGGCUCAGUAAACCGGUCAUAGUUUACCGGAUAUAUACCACUUACGUGGAUAACUGUGGUAAUUCUAGAGCUAAUACAUGCAAAAAAGUCCUGACCAGUGAUGGUGAGGACGCUUUUAUUGGAACAAAACCAUUCGCCCGGCUUGCCGGGCGUCUUUAUGGUGACACUAAAUAACAAAACAGAUCGCACGGUCACAGAACCGGUGACAUAUCCUUCAAAUGUCUGACUUAUCAGCUGUCGAUGGUAGACUCUGUGUCUACCAUGGCGCUCACGGGUGACGGGGAAUCAGGGUUCGAUUCCGGAGAGGGAGCCUGAGAAACGGCUACCACAUCCAAGGAAGGCAGCAGGCACGCAAAUUACCCACUCCCGGCACGGGGAGGUAGUGACAAAAAAUAACGAUACGGGACUCAUCCGAGGCCCCGUAAUCGGAAUGAGAACACCCUAAAUCCUUUAACGAAAAUCUAUUGGAGGGCAAGUCUGGUGCCAGCAGCCGCGGUAAUUCCAGCUCCAAUAGCGUAUAUUAAAGUUGUUGCGGUUAAAAAGCUCGUAGUUGGUUCUGCGUGCCACGCUGUCGGUUCACCGCCUGCCGGUGCAACUGGCAUGCCGUGGCAUGUCCUGUCGGUGGCGGAUAGGACCGUGGCGUGCCCUAUGCGGUUUCCCGUGUAGGUGUUUGCGCUGCGUGUCCUUGUACGCCGGCUCAAUCCUACCGCGGUGCUCUUUACCGAGUGUCGAGGUGGGCCGACACUGUUUACUUUGAACAAAUUAGAGUGCUUAAAGCAGGCUCUUAAAUCAGCCUGAAUAGUGGUGCAUGGAAUAAUGGAAUAGGACCUUGGUUCUAUUUUGUUGGUUUUCGGAAUCCAAGGUAAUGAUCAAUAAGGACAGGCGGGGGCAUUCGUAUUGCGGCGUUAGACUUGGCAAAUGCUUUCGCGGUGAAAUUCUUGGAUCGUCGCAAGACGCACUAGAGCGAAAGCAUUUGCCAAGUAUGUCUUAAUUGAUCAAGAACGAAAGUUAGAGGUCCGAAGGCGAUCAGAUACCGCCCUAGUUCUAACCAUAAACGAUGCCAGCCAGCGAUCCGCCGACGUUCCUCCGAUGACACGGCGGGGAGCUUCCCCGGGAAACCAAAGCUUUUGGGUUCCGGGGGAAGUAUGGUUGCAAAGCUGAAACUUAAAGGAAUUGACGGAAGGGCACUACCAGGAGUGGAGCCUGCGGCUUAAUUUGACUCAACACGGGAAACCUCACCAGGCCCGGACAUUGGAAGGAUUGACAGAUCGAUAGCUCUUUCUCGAUUCAGUGGGUAGUGGUGCA
rnacentral:rRNA from 1 species